CUGUGUUUUAGUUAUCUUCUCAUGCUUUUUUCUUUUGGAAUGGUUACCACCUACUUUAUCUACUGACUGCAAUAUAGGUUGGAUACUAACUUGACUAAGAAGGUUGUACUUUUGUGGAAGUUACUGGUCAUAAUAGUGCUGCAAUGACAAUAAAUACAAAUACAUAUGAAUUAAAAAACUGUAACGAGGAAUGUCCAUCAAAGUCAAAUUCAAGGGGCUCGGCAUACUACAUCAAAAGACUGAGAUGGCAAUUGAGUCAAACGUGCUAAAUCACAAGGCUUCACAGAGAAAUAUCUUCGGAUAUAUAAAGAUAUCCAUCUAGCUCUUGGCAGCGUUUUAAACAAACCACUACGCGUUCUCAGGCACUUAUAAAAUGUCUAUCAAUGCAUCCGCUUUUUUAAUCCGCUUACGAAGUACAUCGAAUUAUAGAUAGUUUGUCCUUGUAUACAAUAUUCUUUAGGCAUUUCCAAAGGAAGAAGUCCGAAUAAGAAACGUUGGGAGAAAGAGCUUAUGGCAGUUUAGCGUGAAUUGGCUUUUGUUUGACGAAAUAAUUUUGUUAAGCAAAUUGGAGUUUUCUUCGAAUUUUGAAAACAUGAUAUCACAAAACUUCAUUCUUUUGACGAAAUUAUUUUCACAUAGCUUUGAAUUAUCAUUUUACUUGACUUAAUGGUUAAAAGCUUAUUUCUUGAAUAGCAUUACAAUUACUGCUCGUACUCAUCCCCAUCUUGAUAACACCCAUUCAAAUUGACAAAUUAUCGGUUUCUUUGAUCAUUUCUCUAACUUUUUGAACCUCUGUGAUAAUAGAAUGAGAGCAGACGAAUCUUUCUUGAUCGUAAAUACUGCAUGUCCACUGCCCGUCCUCCUAAACUUAUUAAUUAAAUUUCGUGAAUACUGCCUGUCCUCCUAAACUUUUUAAUUAAAUUUUAAAUUGUUUUCUAAUGUGGUGGUA